UUAGAAACCUAAUAAUUGCUUGUCGACAUCUGCACAAAAUCGUGAUAUAAGCGAUAUAAGUCGUUGAAACUCAGCAAGCAGUGUUCAACGACUUAUAUCGCUUAUAUCACGAUUUUGCUCCAGAUGUCGACAAGCAAUUAUUAGGUUUCUAAUAAAUUGCUCACCACGAUUUCGAAGUCUCUCAGCUAUCUCAGGUUCUGAAACAAAUAGUAUUUCGAUGCAUUUCUUGAUGCAUUUCUUCGAUGCAUUACGAUGCAUUUCUUCGAUGCAUUUCAUUACUAGUAUGGAUUAAUUUUGUCCAUUUCCUUUGCUUGUUUGUUGUCAAAGUUUCCGCCAUGUUUGGAUUCUUUAAGGGAGGAAUGUCAUGAAGUAGUUCUCAAAAUAGUUCGCUGAACGUUCGCGGGCGUCAUUAAAGUCAUAUAUUUUUGAAACAGAAGUAUUAUAAUUUUCAAAAAGAAGUACUAUAUUUUUGAAAUAGACGUCCUAGUAUAUUUUGGAAAUAGAACUUGGUAUAUUUUUGGAACAGAGGUUGUAUAUCUCGCAAAGAAACUCUGCAUUUCUCCACAAGUCAUAUAUUUAUAUCAGACAAACAUGUUUGUAUCUCAAAACAAGUAACAUAUUACAAAGAAGUAUUUUUGUCCAUAUCGGCACGCCAUACUUCGUAUUGGAUGACGUUUUCCACUAACUAUAUAGUUAACUUUAAUCACUUUAUUGUACAACCGGCCCCAGACCUUGUGUGGCGAGAUGAAAUGUUUGCUGACGUGAUUUUGUUUCAACUUUUAUACAGCUCAUUUUUUGGAGAUGCAUGCACGUUGGGAAAACUUUUCAAAACAUCUUUAAAAAUUAACUGCAAG